GCAGUCGCCGCGGUAAUACAGAGGGUGCGAGCGUUAAUCGGAUUUACUGGGCGUAAAGCGUGCGUAGGCGGCUUCUUAAGUCGGAUGUGAAAUCCCUGAGCUUAACUUAGGAAUUGCAUUCGAUACUGGGAAGCUAGAGUAUGGGAGAGGAUGGUAGAAUUCCAGGUGUAGCGGUGAAAUGCGUAGAGAUCUGGAGGAAUACCGAUGGCGAAGGCAGCCAUCUGGCCUAAUACUGACGCUGAGGUACGAAAGCAUGGGGAGCAAACAGGAUUAGAUACCCGAGUAGUCCCUGUCUCUUAUAC
rnacentral:rRNA from 1 species